ensembl:lncRNA
UCAUUAUUAGUGUGUUGAAGUAGUCAGUAUUAGUGUGGUGUAGUAGUCAGUAUUAGUGUGGUGUAGUAGUCAGUAUUAGUGUGUUGUAGUACUCAGUAUUAGUGUGUUGUAGUACUCAGUAUUAGUGUGUUGUAGUACUCAGUAUUAGUGUGUUCUAGUACUCAGUAUCCGUGUGGUUAGUACUCAGUAUCAGUGUGUUGUAGAACUCAGUAUUAGUUUUUGUUGUGCUCAGUAUUAGUGUGUUGUAGUACUCAGUAUUAGUGUGUUGUAGUACUCCGUAUUAGUGUGUUGUAGUACUCAGUAUUGGUGUGUUGUAGUACUCAGUAUUAGUGGGCUGUAGUACUCAAUGUGGUGUAGUACUCAGUAUUAGUGUGGUGUAGUACUCAGUAUUAGUGUGGUGUAGUACUCAGUAUUAGUUAUUAGUAGUACUCAGUAUUAGUGUGUUGUAGUACUCAGUAUUAGUGGUGUGUAGUACUCAGUAUUAGUGUGGUGUAGUACUCAGCAUUAGUGUGUUGUAGUACUCAGUAUUAGUGUGGUGUAGUACUCAGUGUUUGUGUGAUGUAGUACUCAGUAUUAGUGUGUUGUAGUACUCAGUAUCAGUGUGUUGUAGUACUCAGUAUUAGUGUGUUGUAGUACUCAGUAUUGCUGUGUUGUUGUACUCAUUGUUAAUGUGUUGUAGUACUCAGUAUUAGUUGCUUGUAGUACUCAGUAUUAGUGUGUUCUAGUACUCAUUAUUAGUGUGUUGAAGUAGUCAGUAUUAGUGUGGUGUAGUACUCAGUAUUUGUGUGAUGUAGUACUCAGUAUUAGUGUGUUGUAGUACUCAGUAUCAGUGUGGUGUAGUACUCAGUAUCAGUGUGUUGUAGUACUCAGUAUUGCUGCGUUGUAGUACUCAGUAUUAGUGUGUUGUAGUACUCAGUAUUAGUGUGUUGUAGUACUCAGUAUUUGUGUGAUGUAGUACUCAGUAUCAGUGUGUUGUAGUACUCAGUAUCAGUGUGUUGUAGUACUCAGUAUUGCUGCGUUGUAGUACUCAUUGUUAAUGUGUUGUAGUACUCAGUAUUAGUUGCUUGUAGUACUCAGUAUUAGUGUGUUCUAGUACUCAUUAUUAGUGUGUUGAAGUAGUCAGUAUUAGUGUGUUGUAGUACUCAGUAUUAGUGUGUUGUAGUACUCAGUAUCAGUGUGUUGUAGUACUCAGUAUCAGUGUGGUGUAGUACUCAAUGUGCUGUAGUACUCAUUGUUAAUGUGUUGUAGUACUCAGUAUUAGUGUGUUGUAGUACUCAGUAUUAGUGUGUUGUAGUACUCAGUAUUAGUGUGGUGUAGUACUCAAUGUGUUGUAGUACUCAUUGUUAAUGUGUUGUAGUACUCAGUAUUAGUGUGUUGUAGUACUCAGUAUUAGUGUGUUGUAGUACUCAGUAUUAGUGUGUUGUAGUACUCAGUAUUAGUGUGGUGUAGUACUCAGUAUUCGUGUUGUGUAGUACUUAGUAUUCAUGUGCUGUAGUACUCAGUAUUAGUGUGUUCUAGAACUCAGUAUUAGUGUGUUGUAGUACUCAUUAUUAGUGUAUUGUAGUACUCAGUAUUAGUGUGUUGUAGUACUCAGUAUUAGUGUAUUGUGGUACUCAGUAUUAGUGUGUUGUAGUACUCAGUAUCAGUGUGUUCUAGUACUCAGUAUUCGUGUUGUGUAGUACUUAGUAUUCAUGUGCUGUAGUACUCAGUAUUAGUGUGUUCUAGUACUCAGUAUUAGUGUGUUGUAGUACUCAGUAUUAGUGUAUUGUAGUACUCAGUAUUAGUGUGUUGUAGUACUCAGUAUCAGUGUGUUCUAGUAGUCAGUAUUAGUGUGUUGUAGUACUCAGUAUCAGUGUGUUCUAGUACUCAGUAUUAGUGUGUUGUAGUACUCAGUAUCAGUGUGUUGUAGUACUCAGUAUUAGUGUGUUGUAGUACUCAGUUUUAGUGUGUGAGUGUGUGUGCGCGCGCGUGUGUGUGUGUGUGUGUGCGUGUGUGUGUGUGUG